rnacentral:rRNA from 1 species
CCUACGGGAGGCAGCAGUAGGGAAUAUUGCUCAAUGGGGGAAACCCUGAAGCAGCAACGCCGCGUGGAGGAUGAAGGUUUUCGGAUUGUAAACUCCUUUUGUUAGAGAAGAUAAUGACGGUAUCUAACGAAUAAGCACCGACUAACUCCGUGCCAGCAGCCGCGGUACUACGGCGGGUGCAAGCGUGACUCGGAAUCACUGGGCGUAAAGAGGGCGUAGGCGGGAUAGAAAUUCAGAUGUGAAAUCUUCUGGAUUAACCAUAGAACUGCAUUUGAAACUGUUAUUCUAGAGUAUGGGAGAGGUAGGUGUAAUUCUUGGUGUAGGGGUAAAAUCCG